GUGAACUACACUGAUACAGCGUCUCUGUACAAUGGUGUUAUUUCUAACAGCCUGUGAGCAUUCUCAUUCCCCUGACACUGGACCAGACCGGUAUACCAAAGAUCUCAAGCUCGAAGUGGUAAUGCGGCUAGAGGCCACAAUGAACCAAGCCAGGGCCAAGGGGGCGCCGAUCUCCCGGGGCAAAAUCGGAGAGAAGGUACAGUAAGCGCGGAGGAUUAAGUGCAGAAAUGAACUUAAUGAAGCCCGGUUACAGCAGCCUGCAUGACCCUCACCUGCGCAAGUACUACCUGCGUAAAGACAGGCAGAGCCUGCUGCGGAGGAGGGACCUCAUCACACCAGAGAAAGAGGUGAGACCCUCACACCACCACGAGACCUUCACACCCCCACGAGACCUUCACACCCCCACGAGACCUUCACACCCCCAUGAGACCCUCACACCACCACGAGACCCGCCCUCGCGCAGCCCAGGAAUGCCAUGCCCAAAUCACACAUCCUUCUGCCCCGGAGCGCCCUGAGGACAACAGCCUCUCCACAGCCGGCCGACCACGCAGAGCUCCGUCAUCCGGCCCAGGAGGCAGACACAGGCCCCAGGCCGCGACCCGGUGGGACAGGGAUCCAGAAGAUUUCGUAUCCAGGUGUCGGCUGUGUAGAGGGGAGGAAUGUUGGAGGUUAAUCGGCCCAGGUGCGGUUUGAAUGUUCUUCAGGUUCACCUGGACCUGUUCCUGCAGGUGUGUGAUGAUUCUGAUGAAGUGCAUGCUCUGUGACACUGCAGGGACAGCAAGGAGGGAUCCCUGUUUCACUGAGGCA